GCUGGAAGGUUUGACCGCCCAUUUAGAGAAUACGAGCGACGAGCCGUAUACACCAGCGCGACGUCCUCGUAUGUUAUACGGUGGUGGCCCACCAGCCGUAUACACAGCGCGUCUGCGCGUGUCCCUGCCUCAGACGAGACGCACACCCGUAGGGCGAGAGCGGAAGCGAAAAUCUAGAUCCAGACGACGCCGGCCACGAUGCAGGUCCAUGGCCGACCUCAACUCCUUCUCAGACUCGCACUGGAUCGACCGAGAAGAUGCAGUCCGGACGGAAGAUCGGUGCUACAGUCCAAGCUGAAGCUUCGACUCGGCGAGCUAUGAAAGCAGCAGCGGCGGCGACAGAUUAACAGGAGGGAGCGGUAGUUCCAGGUCCGGCACUACAGAUGACGCGUCCCGUGGCUCUGAUUCGCAGCCAUCGCCGGGGUCAUUGAACGACAGGUGCGUAAUCCCCUCCGCCUGGCAAUGAUCUGCGCAUUUAAAUUGGCUCAAAUUCUGACUCUAUAGCUAGCGCAUAUAUCUCGUUUAUGUGGUAUUGAGAUUAGGCGAGGUGUUAAAAAGUCAGACAAACUGAGGGAGGAUAACCGAGAGCAACCAUAUGUGAAGUCUGGUUUUUUUGAGACGCUCGUGUCAGUGAUAGUCUAGCUAAUACGGGAGUGGAAUCAUUUUUGGAGUGGGCAAAAUGCGCAGGAAGCAAAUCUCUGGGUUCUAAGAGAUGCAAAGUUGGUUUCAGAGGUUUAUUGUUCAGUUAGUUUGAGAGGUGCAGAUGUAUUUUCGGAGGAACUGUGGUUGUAUAUUUAAAACAGACUGAACUUGCUUUUAUUGUAAUUCAGAUAAAUUAGAUUAUAUGCAGAAAAAAAGACUCCACUUAUGCGUAAGUAUUCAUGCUUGAACAGUGGCCAUCUUGCCGCUGAUGUAGAAUCCACUCUUGUUUGUGCUAAUCUAUAUGUAAUGAUAGAUAGGCAAUAACAAAAAGCAUGAAGAGUGGAAGUAGCGAUAUAGUAUAAGGAUAUCUUAUUCUCGACAGGUAGCUUCAUGGAAGAAGAGGUUUGUUGGAAGAAGAGGUUCGUUGAUUUCCGAUGCUCAUAGUUGCUCCCGUAUGUUAGUAGAAUUAUUUUCCUAGUUUUAGUGUGCCAUGGUGGGUUGGUAGACGCGGCUGAAAUUAUACCUAUGAGGUCAUGUAAAAUCGUGGACAAAUGCUAUUUUCAGAAGAUUUUCUUUUAACAAACCGAUUGCUAAUGCGUUUGAUUGCAAUUCAGCAUGUCUGGUGUGAUGAACAGUUUGAUUUGUCGAUGCAGGUGUAGUAAUUCCAGUAUUUAAAUAAGGGCCGGCUUAUUUUGACCUCAGUUGGUUCAUUCAUUGUUUAGUUGUAUUUUCCAAGUAACAAAUGAUUAGUCCCCAAUAACAUGUCCCUUUUUAAGUUCUCGAUUUGAGUUCAUAUAGUCCUUAAAUUCUCCAGUCCCUUUGCGUGAGCCCGAGUUAUUCCCCGCCAAGUUCUGAUGAGGAUUAUAUGCAGUACAGUAGCAUUUCAUAUUUUCAUCUAUGUAUUGCAUCUCUAAUUUGCCCUUAGGUUUCAAAUUUCCAUCGCAGUUUCUUAGGCCCUUCGUGUAUGUUAAAAAUUCACACGCAUUUGCUACGCCUGAGUUUUAUGCACUGUUAAGUUUCUACCCUCUUGUACGUUGCUCAAACAUUAUAGGUUUUAUUAUGUGAGUCAGCUGGUAAUCUAACAGUAUCAUUUACUAAUGCCUUUAUGUUUGUAUGAGUUCAGACUAUCAAUUUCUUCUUGAUAGACAUAUUGUUUGUAGGAGAAUUAGCUCCUAAAUGAGAAUCAUUUACUUAGACUCGUGGAUUCUUCAUUGUACAUACUCUCAAGAAUUGGGUAGGGGUGCAUGACAGAGCUGGUGAUGUGGGGGCAGCCCGCCAGCGCCGGUGUUGCGGAUCUGCCGCGUGAAGGUGAUGGGGGUAAGGACUGACACCAGAAGCUGGUCGGCCCCAUGCAGACAAGAAGCACAUCAUCAUGUCCUGGACCUCCGUGUGAAGAUUUGUUAACUGUAUGUAAUAGGGAGAUGAUCCAUAUAAGAACUUCAUAAAUGAGGGAUUGGUAUACCGUGAAUAUCUCCAAAGAACUUUAUAAAUAGAGAUUGGUCCGUCAUGAAUAUUGUAGUUGGUUUCACGGCUGCUCAGAGUCACGAAGUUGCCCUGAGGUGAACAUGGACUGUUUAGUGAUCAUAACAAUUUGUUCGGUGGCAUAAUAUGAUAUUACAUUGAGAUUUAACCGUGUAAGUCUUAAAUACUUCUUAUCUUCACUUGUCACCUCUAUGGGAUGCAA